rnacentral:rRNA from 1 species
CUUGUAAUCAUAAGAGGUCUAGCCUGCCCAGUGAUUUUAUUCAACGGCCGCGGUAUUCUAACCGUGCGAAGGUAGCGUAAUCACUUGUUUUCUAAAUAAAGACCAGUAUGAAAGGCAUCACGAGGACUUAGCUGUCUCCUUUCUCCAAUCAGUGAACCUAAUCUCCCCGUGAAGAAGCGGGGAUCCUAUUAUAAGACGAGAAGACCCCGUGGAGCUUAAAACAUUAUAACAAUUGCCACCACUAUAACCAUCCUGAUUGUUCCCCCGACGGCACCCUGAUUAUACGUUUUUGGUUGGGGUGACCGCGGAGAAAAACUCAUCCUCCACAAUGAAAGGAAAUUCCCGCCCUAAACAACAAGUUACAACUUUAUGUAUCAAAAAAUUGACAUUCAUUGACCCAAUAAAUUGAUUAACGAAC